rnacentral:rRNA from 1 species
AUGCUGUGAGCUCGAUGAGUAGGGCGGGACACGUGGUAUCCUGUCUGAAUAUGGGGGGACCAUCCUCCAAGGCUAAAUACUCCUGACUGACCGAUAGUGAACCAGUACCGUGAGGGAAAGGCGAAAAGAACCCCGGCGAGGGGAGUGAAAAAGAACCUGAAACCGUGUACGUACAAGCAGUGGGAGCACCCUUUGGGGUGUGACUGCGUACCUUUUGUAUAAUGGGUCAGCGACUUAUAUUCUGUAGCAAGGUUAACCGUAUAGGGGAGCCGCAGGGAAACCGAGUCUUAACCGGGCGUUAAGUUGCAGGGUAUAGACCCGAAACCCGGUGAUCUAGCCAUGGGCAGGUUGAAGGUUGGGUAACACUAACUGGAGGACCGAACCGACUAAUGUUGAAAAAUUAGCGGAUGACCUGUGGCUGGGGGUGAAAGGCCAAUCAAACCGGGAGAUAGCUGGUUCUCCCCGAAAGCUAUUUAGGUAGCGCCUCGUGAAUUCAUCUCCGGGGGUAGAGCACUGUUUCGGCUAGGGGGCCAUCCCGGCUUACCAACCCGAUGCAAACUGCGAAUACCGGAGAAUGUUAUCACGGGAGACACACGGCGGGUGCUAACGUCCGUCGUGAAGAGGGAAACAACCCAGACCGCCAGCUAAGGUCCCAAAGUCAUGGUUAAGUGGGAAACGAUGUGGGAAGGCCCAGACAGCCAGGAUGUUGGCUUAGAAGCAGCCAUCAUUUAAAGAAAGCGUAAUAGCUCACUGGUCGAGUCGGCCUGCGCGGAAGAUGUAACGGGGCUAAACCAUGCACCGAAGCUGCGGCAGCGACACUAUGUGUUGUUGGGUAGGGGAGCGUUCUGUAAGCCUGUGAAGGUGGCCUGUGAGGGUUGCUGGAGGUAUCAGAAGUGCGAAUGCUGACAUAAGUAACGAUAAAGCGGGUGAAAAGCCCGCUCGCCGGAAGACCAAGGGUUCCUGUCCAACGUUAAUCGGGGCAGGGUGAGUCGACCCCUAAGGCGAGGCCGAAAGGCGUAGUCGAUGGGAAACGGGUUAAUAUUCCCGUACUUGGUGUUACUGCGAAGGGGGGACGGAGAAGGCUAUGUUGGCCGGGCGACGGUU